UACGUAGGGGGCAAGCGUUGUCCGGAUUUAUUGGGCGUAAAGAGCUCGUAGGCGGCUGUUCGCGUCGGAUGUGAAAGCUCAGGGCUCAACCCUGAGAGGCCAUUCGAUACGGGAUAGCUAGAGGUAGGUAGGGGAGAUCGGAAUUCCUGGUGUAGCGGUGGAAUGCGCAGAUAUCAGGAGGAACACCGAUGGCGAAGGCAGUUCUCUGGGCCGAUACUGACGCUGAGGAGCGAAAGCGUGGGGAGCGAACAGG
rnacentral:rRNA from 1 species